CACAACGUAGCUCAAUCCUUAAAGCACCUUGCUUACACCAAGAAGAUAUUUGUUAAAACCAAAUCGUUAUGA
rnacentral:tRNA from 1 species